rnacentral:misc_RNA from 1 species
AAAAACCAUAUACCUAUCCCAAAAAGAAAAUUUCCAUCUCAUUCACUUUUUUUCCACACGCUGUCAGAAAACAAUUCCCUCAAAACUAAAUAACAUGCCGUACUUUACAAAAACAAUGUAAUUUUUAUAAUCAUAAGCUUAAAUUGGGUGUGUUUAUAAUUUUUAUAUUCUGAAGCAAAUUGAUGUGUCGGGAGUCAACAUGAUAGGUCCGUUUCGAUACUGCGCUCAAAUAAAGCACAUUAACCAUGCAUCGCUUGCGUUCAACAACAACUGUCUAGGGCAAGUCAUCAAAGGACUAGCGGGUCGUUUCAAUUAUUCACAAGAUAAGGGUGGGAGUGGGUGCUGCAAGGACAUCGCACAGAGCUCCGCCGAGAGGAAAGUAGAGCCGUGGCCGAAGUCAGAGCCGCCGCAACAACCGUGGCGCGCGGAGUGCCCACAGGGGCCGCAGCCCCCCAACUACGACCCCUACAGGAUCAAAGUCCCCGACGUAGUCGUGCCGCCACUGCCGCCCAGUAAUGUCAAGCCGAUGCUGGACUGCACCAAGGGUACUAACAAAGGGCAGUGCUCCCUGAAGCCGGUGGUGACGCCGGAGCCUCCCCCGCCGCCUCCGCCACCGAGCUUCCCUUGGAUGUAUUUUUGGGCGCUACUGUCAUUCUUCGGUGCGUUUGGUUUGAUGUAUAAAUUAUAUUUAUGGAGGAGAAUGCAGGAGGUAACGAAAGAAAAACCUGUAUGGCGGCCUCGAAGGAAGAUGAAGCGGCCGUACAACGAGCGCGACAUUCCCGCUUGCGUUCAGUAUCUCAUAAUAGGCACGGGCGCCGCCGGGUGGGCCGCAUACAAGGCCAUUAUGGAGCACGACAAAACUGCUAAGGUAUUCUUCGUAACGAAAGAAGAUUCCUUCCCCUACAAGCGGCCGCCGCUUAGUAAGGAAAUGUGGUUUGAAGAAGAUCCUCCUGACCCGAAGAUUUUGAAGUAUGUCGCAGACGGACGAAGACAAACAAUGUUUAAUGCAGAUUGCGGAGAUUUCUUAGAUCCCGUUGUAUUUUAUCGGAAAAAGACGGGCCCGGCGUUGUCGAUCGCGACGGGCUGGUGUGUGGUCCGACUGGACGCUGACGACCACGUGGCCUACGUCAAGACCAUGAGUGGGGAGCAUCCGAUAUAUUACGAGCGGUGUCUGUUGGCCCCCGGUUCAAAACCAAGAACUCUUGACAUCAUAAAAUCCGCUCCGAAGGCAGUACGGGAAAAAGUUUGCACCAUGCGUACAGUUAGGGAUUUGGAGCUAGCGUACAGGAAAGUCAAAGAAGCGAAGCAUGUAACAGUCAUAGGCGCCGGCCCUCUGGGCUGCGAGCUCGCGUGGCAUCUGGGCAAAAUGAAUAAAAUGAUGCCGUUAGAGGACGGGCCGGGCAGGGUGAUAACACACGUGUACAAGGACAAGGGCAUACUGUCGGGCAUCCUGCCGGAGUACCUCGGCGUGUGGGCCGCGGAGCUCAUCAAGUGCGAGGGUGUCACGCAAGUGCCCAAAGCUCAAGUAUACGAUGUGUUCGAGUCAGUAGACGGGAGACUCGAGCUCACGCUGUCCAACGGCCAGUCUUUAGUCACGGACUUCGCGUUCGUGGCAGUAGGCGCGGAGCCGCGCGUGGACCUGGCCGAGGGCUCGUACCUGGAGCGCGACGAGAUCAACGGCGGCUACCUGGUGAACACCGAGCUCGAGGCGCGGACGCACCUGUACAUCGCCGGCGACGCCGCCAGCUACUACUCGCAGGAGAAGGACACGCGCAUGCGCGCCGACCACGUCAUCAACGCCGAGGAGCAGGGCUACAUCGCCGGCUCCAACAUGACCGGCUACUGGAUGCCCUGCAACAUGGAGCCCAACUGGUGGGUGCGCCUCGGCGAUCUGCUGCAGAUGGAGGUAGUCGGCGAAGUGGGUGCAUGCAUGCCCAUCGUGGGGCUUUUCAAGGAAUGUACGGACGAAGAAUCCAUUAAGGAGGCCGAGACAAUGACCAACGCGGGCGAAAGGCAAGGCUGCUUCCAGAGCAGGAGCGCGGAGUACGUGAAUCGGUACAAGCGCGGCCUGCUCUUCUACUUGCGCGACGAGGUGGUGGUCGGCUUCGUGUUCUGGAACAUGCCGGCCAUCGACGACCGCAGGGAAGUGGCCACUGAGUUGCUUCGCGCGAAGCCUACGUACCAAGACAUCAACGUGCUGGCGGAGCUACUUGGCUUCCCGAGCACACGAUGUGUGUACAAGAAGGACGAGGUAGUGGUCGCUGAAGUUGGGCCUUGUUUAACUAAUGACUGUAAACCCAAACCAACUUCGAAAAAAGAUUGUCCGACAAUAACGCGACACCGAUAUCCGUAGCGCCGUAUGGUCGUCUAGGGAACAUCACCGCGGUUCAGUUUUGUUGAGAAACGUUUGUAAACAUGAUCGCAUUCCGUAACUUGUGAACAUUAGCAGCCGCUCACUGGUCGCAAGCCGAGUCGCCGGCCUUACACCUCGGAUGACGCAAACAUUACAUAACUCGUUAACUGCUAACUUCGGUUAGAAGUUGACCGUUAUCAAAGAUACAAGACGUCACCUUACAUGGCGACGCUUGCUAAUCUAAAUAAUCUAAACCUUUUGUAAACGAAUGUUACCAAACAACAUACUAAAUGUUACUCAACAAAUAGCAACUGCGGUGUGCUCCUUUAUCUCAUCAUACGUCUUACGGCCCUCGAAAAAAAAAGAGUAAAAAGUUGGAAAGUAUGGUAAAAAAAAAAAAUUUGCAAGAAAAGUUUUAAGGAAUUGUCUGUGUGAACAUAUUUUUUUUUGAUAUUGAAAGUUUUGAUUCAUUAA